UGCGUUGUCUCAUGAUAUUCACUGUUGC
rnacentral:piRNA from 1 species